AACCUUCCUAGGGGUACGGAACAACUCAGGGAAACUUGAGCUAAUACCGUAUACGUCCGUAAGGAGAAAGAUUCAUCGCCCCUAGACGGGCCCGCGUAGGAUUAGGUAGUUGGUGAGGUAACGGCUCACCAAGCCUACGAUCCUUAGCUGAUCUGAGAGGAUGAUCAGCCACACUGGGACUGAGACACGGCCCAGACUCCUACGGGAGGCAGCAGUGGGGAAUCUUGGACAAUGGGCGCAAGCCUGAUCCAGCCAUGCCGCGUGAGU
rnacentral:rRNA from 1 species